rnacentral:Y_RNA from 1 species
GAUUGGUCCGAGUGCAGUGGUGUUUACACUGUGUUUACACAGUGGUGUAAUUGAUCACAACCAGUUACGGAUUCCUUUGUUCCUUCUCCACUCCCACUACUUCACUUGACCAGCCUUAA